rnacentral:tRNA from 1 species
GGCUGAAGGGUGGUGCAGUGGGUAGCACUGUCGCCUCACAGCAAGAAGGUCCAGGUUUCGAAUCCCGGCCUGGGCCU